rnacentral:rRNA from 1 species
UACGUAGGGACCAAGCGUUGUCCGGAAUCAUUGGGCGUAAAGAGCGUGUAGGCGGCCAAGCAGGUCCGUUGUGAAAACUGGAGGCUUAACCUCCAGACGUCGACGGAAACCGCGUGGCUAGAGUCCGGAAGAGGAGAGUGGAAUUCCUGGUGUAGCGGUGAAAUGCGCAGAUAUCAGGAAGAACACCAAUGGCGAAGGCAGCUCUCUGGGACGGUACUGACGCUGAGACGCGAAAGCGUGGGGGAGCGAAACAGG